GUGAGGAAAGCGCCCCUUCGGGGGAGAGUGUUUGAGGAGGGAUCUGCGGCCCAUCAGCUAGUUGGUGAGGUAACGGCUCACCAAGGCGAAGACGGGUAGGGGGUGUGAGAGCAUGGCCCCCCACAAUGGGACUGAGACACGGCCCAUACUCCUACGGGAGGCAGCAGCGGGGAAUAUUGCGCAAUGGACGGAAGUCAGACGCAGCGACGCCGCGUGGGUGUGGAAGGCCUUCGGGUUGUAAAGCCCUUUUCAGGGGAGCGAGAAAGGACGGUACCCUUGGAAUAAGCGUCGGCUAACUACGUGCCAGCAGCCGCGGUAAGACGUAGGACGCAAGCGUCAUCCGGAUUUACUGGGCGUAAAGCGCCUGUAGGCGGUCAAGUAAGUCGGAUGUGAAAGCCCCGUGCUCAACGCGGGGAAGCCAUUCGAUACUGCGUGACUAGAGAACGGCAGAGGGAAACGGAAUUUCUGGUGUAGCGGUAAAAUGCGCAGAGAUCAGAAAGAACACCGAUGGCGAAGGCAGUUUCCUAGGCCGCAUCUGACGCUGAGAGGCGAAAGCUAGGGGAGCAAACAGGAUUAGAGACCCUGGUAGUCCUAGCUGUAAACGAUGGAUGCUAGGUGUGGGCCGGAAAGGUCCGUGCCGUAGUUAACGCGAUAAGCAUCCCGCCUGGGGAGUACGGCCGCAAGGCUAAAACUCAAACGAAUUGACGGGGACCCGCACAAGCAGCGGAGCGUGUGGUUUAAUUCGAUGCUACACGCAGAACAUUACCUGGGCUUGACAUGUAGGUGGUAGUGAAGUGAAAGCGGAGCGA
rnacentral:rRNA from 1 species